rnacentral:rRNA from 1 species
GAUGAGCGCUGGCGGCGUGCCUAAUACAUGCAAGUCGAGCGAACAGACGAGGAGCUUGCUCCUCUGACGUUAGCGGCGGACGGGUGAGUAACACGUGGAUAACCUACCUAUAAGACUGGGAUAACUUCGGGAAACCGGAGCUAAUACCGGAUAAUAUAUUGAACCGCAUGGUUCAAUAGUGAAAGACGGUUUUGCUGUCACUUAUAGAUGGAUCCGCGCCGCAUUAGCUAGUUGGUAAGGUAACGGCUUACCAAGGCAACGAUGCGUAGCCGACCUGAGAGGGUGAUCGGCCACACUGGAACUGAGACACGGUCCAGACUCCUACGGGAGGCAUCAGUAGGGAAUCUUCCGCAAUGGGCGAAAGCCUGACGGAGCAACGCCGCGUGAGUGAUGAAGGUCUUCGGAUCGUAAAACUCUGUUAUUAGGGAAGAACAAAUGUGUAAGUAACUAUGCACGUCUUGACGGUACCUAAUCAGAAAGCCACGGCUAACUACGUG